GCUGGGUGUGGUGGUGCCCACCUGUAAUGUCAGCAGCUUGGGAGUCUGAGGCAGGAGGAUCACAAGUUCAAAGCCAGCUUCAGCAAAAGCGAGGUGCUAAGCAACUCAGUGAGACCCUGUCUCUA
rnacentral:sRNA from 1 species